GGCCUUGUGGCGCAACGGUAGCGCGUUCGACUCCAGCGGUAGGGAUUCCCUUCCAGAGGCAUCGAAAGGUUAUCCGUUCAAAUCGGGUCAGGGUCA